GCCAGUGUGGCAUAGCGGUCUGGGUCUUGGACCAUGACUCUGGAGACCAGGGUUCGAUUCCCAGCUCAGCCA